GAAUCUCUGCCAUCCUCCUCUGUAGCUGGCUGGCUGAAGUGUUCUCAAUAUGUGUGAGAGUUGAGGGAUUUAGCUUUGAUCUCUGAGAAUGUUCUUUCCUGUCAUGGUAGCCUGAGGGAUAAGAAAAGAAGAAAAUGUUGGGAGACAUAUUGGUCAUUGAGAAGAAUUGCCAACAAUGAGAAACGGGACCAUUUUUACCCCUCCAGAGAAAAAGCAUAAUUGUUGAAGGCCAUGGACUUUUAUCAAAUGAAAGAGAUGAGAGAGGGAUACCAUAAC
rnacentral:lncRNA from 12 species